CGUGCCACUGCCGUGGCAGGUGGCGCCAAAGUUCUCAACGACGGAGGUGCUGUGCCGCAGGAGGGCCAUUCUGUAUGGGUCAGCUGAGUGGGGAUUCCUGUCACUCGAAGAUAUCAAAACGAGUUUCAAAGGAUUAACUAGCCGGUGGAGGUGUGUCGCGAACUGAGAUCCACUAACAACACCAGCAGCUCUCUGACGGCAGUACAGAAACCAUUACGCCCUGUCCAGGAGUAAGUGGCGCCACUGAAGUUCAUCGCAAGUGCGGAAAAAAUGACAAGGAAACUGAUUGAAACAGGAGUCCCCGAACUGAUGUUUCAAACCCCAUGAAUCGGGUACGAUCCACCACAUCGCCAUUC